rnacentral:rRNA from 1 species
GACGAACGCUGGCGGCGUGCUUAACACAUGCCAGUCGAACGGAAAGGCCCCUUCGGGGGUACUCGAGUGGCGCACGGGUGAGUAACACGUGAGUAACCUGCCCUUGACUUCGGGAUAACUUCAGGAAACUGGGGCUAAUACCGGAUAGGAAUCCUUGCUGCAUGGUGGGGGUUGGAAAGCUUCGGCGGUUUUGGAUGGACUCGCGGCUUAUCAGCUUGUUGGUGGGGUAGUGGCUUACCAAGGCGUUGACGGGUAGCCGGCCUGAGAGGGCGACCGGCCACAUUGGGACUGAGAUACGGCCCAGACUCCUACGGGAGGCAGCAGUGGGGAAUAGUGCACAAUGGGCGGAAGCCUGAUGCAGCAACGCCGCGUGCGGGAUGACGGCCUUCGGGUUGUAAACCGCUUUCAGCAGGGGCGAAGCUUGUGGUGACGGUACCUGCAGAAGAAGCACCGGCUAACUACGUG